AGAACUCGGGUGAAGGAACUAGGCAAAAUGGUGCCGUAACUUCGGAGAAGGCACGCUGGCAUUAGGUGAAGUGAUUUACUCAUGGAGCUGAAGCCAGUCGCAGAUACCAGCUGGCUGCAACUGUUUAUUAAAACACAGCACUGUGCAAACACGAAAGUGGACGUAUACGGUGUGACGCCUGCCCGGUGCUGGAAGGUUAAUUGAUGGGGUUAUCCGUAAGGAGAAGCUCUUGAUCGAAGCCCCAGUAAACGGCGGCCGUACUAUAACGGUCCUAAGGUAGCGAAAUUCCUUGUCGGGUAAGUUCCGACCUGCACGAAUGGCGUAAUGAUGGCCAGGCUGUCUCCACCCGAGACUCAGUGAAAUUGAACUCGCUGUGAAGAUGCAGUGUACCCGCGGCAAGACGGAAAGACCCCGUGAACCUUUACUAUAGCUUGACACUGAACAUUGAGCCUUGAUGUGUAGGAUAGGUGGGAGGCUUCGAAGCGUGGACGCCAGUCUGCGUGGAGCCAACCUGAAAUACCACCCUUUAAUGUUUGAUGUUCUAACGUUGCCCCAUUAUCUGGGGUGCGGACAGUGUCUGGUGGGUAGUUUGACUGGGGCGGUCUCCUCCCAAAGAGUAACGGAGGAGCACGAAGGUUGGCUAAGCAUGGUCGGACAUCAUGCGGUUAGUGCAAAGGCAUAAGCCAGCUUGACUGCGAGAGUGACGGCUCGAGCAGGUACGAAAGUAGGUCUUAGUGAUCCGGUGGUUCUGAAUGGAAGGGCCAUCGCUCAACGGAUAAAAGGUACUCCGGGGAUAACAGGCUGAUACCGCCCAAGAGUUCAUAUCGACGGCGGUGUUUGGCACCUCGAUGUCGGCUCAUCACAUCCUGGGGCUGAAGUAGGUCCCAAGGGUACGGCUGUUCGCCGUUUAAAGUGGUACGCGAGCUGGGUUUAGAACGUCGUGAGACAGUUCGGUCCCUAUCUGCCGUGGGCGUUGGAAGAUUGAAAGGGGCUGCUCCUAGUACGAGAGGACCGGAGUGGACGCACCACUGGUGUUCGGGUUGUCAUGCCAAUGGCAUUGCCCGGUAGCUAAGUGCGGAAGAGAUAACCGCUGAAAGCAUCUAAGCGGGAAACUUGCCUUGAGAUGAGUCUUCCCUGACUCUUUAAGAGUCCUAAAGGAACGUUUAAGACUAAGACGUUGAUAGGUUGGGUGUGUAAGCGUAGCGAUACGUUGAGCUAACCAAUACUAAUGAACCGUGAGGCUUAACCUG
rnacentral:rRNA from 1 species